AACACCUUCAAGACAUCAAGAGAGGCGCGACACAGACGUCCUUAAUUUAGCAAGCUCGGACAGGAGCCAGGGCGAGCGUCAAUGCAAAGCGCAUAAUGUAUGAAGCUGCAUCUCAACGGCGUGCACAGCUGGUAGGUGCAUCAUAUAGGGGCAGACGGCAUUGUGCGAAUAAUCCGUGAGCUUUGCGCAGUUUCUGUUUGCUUGGCCGGCGCCUUAUACCCUUGGAGACCGUGAAGAUGGUCGUGCGGUACGGUCGCUCAAACGUGGCCAAUCGGUUGCUUGGCACGGACUGGAGGACCAGGUGCGUAGUGCGCGGGUGAGUUUUGAGUCAACACGGGUGUCCAGAUGUCCAAGGUUGGGAGUGCGCGCUACAUGGUGGACACUCUCGUGUAAAGAUGUGCUCGCAAUGCGAGACGUUCGACCUGUCGGUGAGACAUAUAACGUGAAGAUAGGAGUUCCAAAGAUGCAAACGGGGACUGAGUGCUUGUCUCGUCUGUAGGGACUUACAAACAGAUGACUUGGUUACCUAGGUACACGUCUGCAAGUCUGUACGGUCCCAUUCUCUGCUAGCGUGUCACUCCGAGGAAGGAAUGCGCCGGAGCGUGUUCCAUAAACUUUUGUCCAGCACUGAGGACGUCGAGAUGGAGUGUUGCUUCCGUGCAUUGCGGUAAGGUCAUCGCAAGCGUGCAGUUAGAAAGCUACAAGACGCUUCGCGCAAAUUUGUACUGUAUUGUAAUAAACAGCAUAUGCUAGAAAUGUAAUAUA